UGGUAGCAAUACCGAAGGAAGUUUAGUGGCGAACGGGUGCGUAACACGUGGGCAAUCUGCCGAGAAGUGGGGGAUAGCUCGCCGAAAGGCGAAUUAAUACCGCAUGUGAUCAGGAGAGACAUCUUUCUGAAAUUAAAGCCGGGGCAACCUGGCGCUUUUUGAUGAGCCCGCGGCCUAUCAGCUAGUUGGUGAGGUAACGGCCCACCAAGGCUUUGACGGGUAGCUGGUCUGAGAGGACGACCAGCCACACUGGAACUGAGACACGGUCCAGACACCUACGGGUGGCAGCAGUCGAGAAUUUUUCUCAAUGGGGGAAACCCUGAAGGAGCGACGCCGCGUGGAGGAUGAAGGCUUUCGGGUUGUAAACUCCUGUCAUUUGAGAACAAGGGUAGCUAAGUAACUACUAGCUACUUGAUAGUAUCAGAAGAGGAAGAGACGGCUAACUCUGUGCCAGCAGCCGCGGUAAUACAGAGGUCUCAAGCGUUGUUCGGAUUCAUUGGGCGUAAAGGGUGCGUAGGUGGCGCGCUAAGUCAGGUGUGAAAUUUCGGAGCUUAACUCCGAAACUGCAUUUGAUACUGGCGUGCUUGAGGACUGGAGAGGAGACUGGAAUUCUCGGUGUAGCA
rnacentral:rRNA from 1 species